GAGGGGGAUGCCCUAGGGAUGCGGGAGCCUGGAGCCCGACCACCGCGGCGUGGAGCUGCCCUGCCGCACCCGCGAGAAACUCCCAUGGUGUUUACGCCACUACUGUUUUGCGUCUCUGGCAAAGGCCAAACUUGCUGAUUAUACCAGUUAAUUUGGGUGGUCAGAGAAAGAAUCCAGAGAAUUCUCCUCAGACACAACCAUGCCCUUCAGGAGAAUCAAGUGAAGGCAAGAGAGACCGACCCUGGGAACACCGGACAGGAAAACAUCGAGUCAAAACUCUGCCGAUGGCAAAGUUUGCCUACUCUGGGCCAGGGGCUGCUCCCAGCUUGGGGCUCAUGCAGUGAAAGUGCCCACCGAAGCCCGUCACCUCAUGGCAGGACAGUUCCGGCGUGGGGAGACAGAUGACACAGAAGUAAAGAUGGUGUUACCUGAGAGCGCUAAGUCCCCAGAGGAAAUGAAACAAGCAUUCUGGUGGGAAAGGCUGUUUGAGUGGUCAGAGGAGGUGACAGUGGAGCUGAAACCUGCAUUCACUCUGAGAAGGAGCUGCAUGGAGAGGUCAUGAGGAAAGGCAUUCCAGUGGAAGUGACCUUCUUGAAGUUCUAGCUCCAGCGGACUGGGCAUUCUGUGAUCAACAGUCACCAAGAGCCUGAGCCCCAGAAGGACAGGCCCUUUCUUCACGGCUCAGCUCCUAGAAGACAUCCUGGCCCAGAGCAGAUGCUCCAUGCAGAAUAACAGAUGCUGUCACUGGUGCCGAGAUGAUGCCCACCCUUCCCUUCCGAAGGGUCGGCCAGUUUUGUUCCUAGGGAGUAGCGUGCAGAAGGACGAUCCCUGGCGUCCAGGAGCUCUCAGCUGUAAUGAGGACCCCGCUGAAGCCAGGGCCUCUGCUGGUUACUAUGGCAACACUGCACAAGGGAAGCCCGCUCUUCCUCAUUAGAGCUGUGUUGUGGCAGGUGACAUGGUAGUAUCUCGGUGACCUCAUUAGUGGUUCUAACCAGUGGCCCUUGGAAGUUUUCUGCUUGCCACCUCUCUGACCCACCCACUCUUUCACCGAGCUCUGGAGAGGAAAGCAACAGUCACGAGGUCCUUGGGCCUGUGGAGUUAGACAGUCUGUGCGAUGUAAUCAACAAACAUUUACUGAACACCUGGUAUGUGCUUGGGCCUGAGUGCAGCCCUUUUCCCCCAAAAAGGAGAUAAAGAAGAGGUACAGUAGGGUGGCCAAGAACAUGUGAUCUAGAGCCUGCUGCCUGGGUUCACAUCCUACAGCCAGUGUCUUGCUGUGUGUGGUGUCUUUAAAAUACAUCUUUAAAGUCUGUAACGCUCCUUCCACUGAAAGUAAAAUUUAAUUCCUCUUCCAUUGACUAUGAAUGAAUUGUGCUCAGUAGACAGAAGGCCUCUCACCAUCGCAGCUGGUGGGCAGUGGCUACAAGAAUAUUGUCACACACACUGUAAGGAAAGGAAAAGAAGGGUAUUUCCAGCUCAGAGCUCAGAUCCCCACAUCACAGACUCUCCCUCCCAGUCCGCCUGGCCAGUGGGCAGUGGGAGCGGAUUCGUCCGAAUGCUUAGUGGACAUUGGCUGGGCUCUGGAGCAGGUCCUGGAGACCUUCCUCUUUUUGUUCUUGGCACGAAUGCUUCACUUGCUAGAGCAGGGGAGGCCCAGGGCCUGGGGGGCCGGGAGCAGCCAGGGUGGUGAAGUAGUCACUCUGGGGCUCAAAACCUGAG